CUACAUAUAAAAAUUUCGAAAUUUUCGUGCCCAGAUGGCCGAAUGGUAAAAGACGUCGCAUGGUGGUCCGGCGAACCGAGUUCGAGACCCACCAUGUGCUCCGUUUAUAAAUUAAGCAAGAAUCGAACCCGGUUUUCCCGGGUACCAAGUAUUAUCGUUAUCCGUUCGACCACGCUCGGUCAGUGAAUAAAACGCUUCGGAUGGUUAUAUUUAUAGUACUUCUUCAAUGGGACUAAUGACGAUGGAUAUAUGUAAUAGUAGACGAAUCCACCGUGGAAAGACAGUCCAGUGGUAUAUGACAGGGAUUUUCCACUGGUGAACUCUGGUUCGAGCCCCGCUGCCGUCCUUUCGCUAAGCUCUCGUCAUUUCGCUCGGAUUUUUUUCCACACAUCUUCACAUUCACUUCCGGUUUCAAAUUAAAAGUUUGUUUUCUUCCCGGAAGUGACGUCACUGGCAAAAACCUAUUUAAGGCGGGCUCUCGAGGCACUCAUUCUUUCUCACCUUCGACAGCCUCCGGUCGUCCUCUCGCUGCUCCUGCUCUGCACGCCUGUCCAGAAGCCCACGGAAAACUCCAACAAGGACAAAAGCUACGUUCGCCGAGAGGGUAAGUAGACAAAACUCAUUUCUAAAUUCAGUUAAAACAAACAAAUGUGCAUGCAUGCGUGUUAAUUGUGUCCUUUCUGUUCACAGGUACAAAUCUUCAAAUGGACUAAACACCGGCCACUCGCUGUGCAUUUUAAUGUGGAAUUUGAUCCCUGAACCGUUUGGAGCAAGCCCAUCUAAUUUGUCUCUUUUUUUUUCUAUCCGCAGGCUUUACAUCUGCUACAAAAUGGCCAAAUUGACUGCAAUACGGCUGACGUCGACAGAACGACCCAUAAAAUGGCUGCCAUCCUGUCGAGUUUUGGGCCCCGGCUUCACAAGGCUUUGACAUGCCGACCAAAUAUCGGGUUCGCCGUGCUGUCGAAGAGGGGUCCACCUCUGCCCUCCUCACAAGUGAAGCAAACCCUUUUAUA